CCCCUUGGGGUGCAGCAGGCGCGAAAACUCUGCAAUAAGCGAAAGCUUGACAGGGCUAUUCUGAGUGAUUUCCGCUAAGGAAGUCUUUUGGCAUCUCUAAAAAUGGUGCAGAAUAAGGGGUGGACAAGCUUGGUGUCAGCCGCCGCGGUAAUACCAGCACCCCGAGUGGUCGGGACGAUUAUUGGGCCUAAAGCAUCCGUAGCCGGUUCUACAAGUCUUCCGUUAAAUCCAUCUGCUUAACAGAUGGGCUGCGGAGGAUACUAUGGAGCUAGGAGGCGGGAGAGGCAAGCGGUACUUAGUGGGUAGGGGUAAAAUCCGUUGAUCCAUUGAAGACCACCAGUGGCGAAGGCGGCUUGCCAGAACGCGCUCGACGGUGAGGGAUGAAAGCUGGGGGAGCAAACCGGAUUAGAUACCCGGGUAGUCCCAGCUGUAAACGAUGCAGACUCGGUGAUGAAUKGGCUUAUUGCUAAUUCAGUGCCGCAGGGAAGCCGUUAAGUUUGCCGCCUGGGGAGUACCGGUCGCAAGACUGAAACUUAAAGGAAUUGGSGGGGGAGCACCACAAGGGGUGAAGCCUGCGGUUCAAUUGGAGUCAACGCCGGAAAUCUUACCGGGGGCGACAGCAGAGUGAGAGGUCAAGCUGAAGACUUUACCAGACAAGCUGAGAGGAGGUGCAUGGCCGUCGCCCAGCUCGUGCCGUGAGGUGUCCUGUUAAGUCAGGUAACGAGCGAGAUCCCUACCUCUAGUUGCUACCAUUGUUCUCAGGAGUAGUGGGGCUAAUUAGAGGGACCGCCGUCGCUGAGACGGAGGAAGGAGGGGGCUACGGCAGGUCAGUAUGCCCCGAAACCCUCGGGCCACACGCGGGCUGCAAUGGUAAGGACAAUGAGUUUCGAUUCCGAAAGGAGGAGGCAAUCUCUAAACCUUACCACAGUUAUGAUUGAGGGCUGAAACUCGCCCUCAUGAAUAUGGAAUCCCUAGUAACCGCGUGUCACUAUCGCGCGGUGAAUACGUCCCUGCUCCUUGCACACACCGCCCGU
rnacentral:rRNA from 1 species